rnacentral:lncRNA from 1 species
UUUGAAGAAGACCGUUUGAAUUACAAGGCUCUCUCUCUGAUUUCUCUCUUUAUUUCGAAACCCUAAAUAAUUAUCUUCGGCAAACAUCUGAAGAAGUUUAUGAUCACCGACGAUUGUUUUCUCUGGCGACGAUCCGACGAUCACACAAUCAUUUCCCUAAUUCAGAUGGUUAUGUUUCUAAUUUUGUGUUUCUUUCUCUUAAUUUGAUUCGAGUACUAUUACGAUGUCUCUCUGUUACUUCGUUUUUCCGAAUCGUGACGUUAAUUCAUCUGCUUUUAUGAGUCCGGAGGUUGAUUGAUUUUGUAUUUCAUUUGAUGGAUACUUCUGAUUUGUGAUUUUUUUUUUUUAAAAUUUUAAUUAGGUUUUGAAAGAUCAUUAACGAUCGCGAGACUUGACGAUUAAGGAGAUUUUGUUUGGAUGGUCGUAUCAUCACCGACGGUGGAGGAUGGUGGUAGAUACGGAGG